rnacentral:rRNA from 1 species
GACGAACGCUGGCGGCGUGCUUAACACAUGCAAGUCGAACGGAAAGGCCCUGCUUUUGUGGGGUGCUCGAGUGGCGAACGGGUGAGUAACACGUGAGUAACCUGCCCUUGACUUUGGGAUAACUUCAGGAAACUGGGGCUAAUACCGGAUAGGAGCUCCCGCUGCAUGGUGGGGGUUGGAAAGUUUCGGCGGUUGGGGCUGGACUCGCGGCUUAUCAGCUUGUUGGUGGGGUAGUGGCUUACCAAGGCUUUGACGGGUAGCCGGCCUGAGAGGGUGACCGGCCACAUUGGGACUGAGGUACGGCCCAGACUCCUACGGGAGGCAGCAGGGGGGAAUAUUGCACAAUGGGCGGAAGCGUGAUGCAGCAACGCCGCGUGCGGGAUGACGGCCUUCGGGUUGUGAACCGCUUUCGCCUGUGACGAAGCGUGAGUGACGGUAAUGGGUAAAGAAGCACCGGCUAACUACGUG